CUACGGGCGGCAGCAGUGGGGAAUAUUGCACAAUGGGCGCACGCCUGAUGCAGCCAUGCCGCGUGUAUGAAGAAGGCCUUCGGGUUGUAAAGUACUUUCAGCGGGGAGGAAGGGAGUAAAGUUAAUACCUUUGCUCAUUGACGUUACCCGCAGAAGAAGCACCGGCUAACUCCGUGCCAGCAGCCGCGGUAAUACGGAGGGUGCAAGCGUUAAUCGGAAUUACUGGGCGUAAAGCGCACGCAGGCGGUUUGUUAAGUCAGAUGUGAAAUCCCCGGGCUCAACCUGGGAACUGCAUCUGAUACUGGCAAGCUAGAGUCUCGUAGAGGGGGGUAGAAUUCCAGGUGUAGCGGUGAAAUGCGUAGAGAUCUGGAGGAAUACCGGUGGUGAAGGCGGCCCCCUGGACGAAGACUGACGCUCAGGUGCGAAAGCGUGGGGAGCAAACAGGAUUAGAUACCCGAGUAGUC
rnacentral:rRNA from 1 species